rnacentral:rRNA from 1 species
GUGCACAAGGGAGCUUGACUGUGAGACCGACGGGUCGAGCAGGGACGAAAGUCGGGACUAGUGAUCCGGCGGUGGCUUGUGGAAGCGCCGUCGCUCAACGGAUAAAAGGUACCCCGGGGAUAACAGGCUGAUCUUCCCCAAGAGUCCAUAUCGACGGGAUGGUUUGGCACCUCGAUGUCGGCUCGUCGCAUCCUGGGGCUGGAGUCGGUCCCAAGGGUUGGGCUGUUCGCCCAUUAAAGCGGUACGCGAGCUGGGUUUAGAACGUCGUGAGACAGUU